rnacentral:sRNA from 1 species
UAGCAACGGAUAUUCUGUUGUUAAACGAAUUGCAAAAAAAAAAAAAAAAAAAGGAUUGCAACGGAUAUUCCGUUGCAA